UUCAUUUUUCUCAUUUUCAUGUUGGAAAUUGUUUACACCCUACAUACAUUCGUACACUAACUUACAUAGUGGUACAAUGUGUUUGAUGUUGCAUAACCUUAUUAUUAUUUUUUUUUUUCCAUUUCAGACCCCUUUGAUAGUGACAGUGACCAGAUGACCCUGAGCCUUUCCAUGGUUUUGAUGCCUCGCCCUAUACAUCAGAUGUAGAUGUUCCCUCAUCAGUUGAUACAAGUAUCACCUCCCCAGAGCCCAAAUCAGUUGAUACGAGUAGUAUCACCUCUCCCAUUCCUUCAGACUCCCAAGCACCUGCCCAUCCCACUCCAUAGCCA